rnacentral:rRNA from 1 species
UACAGAGGGGGCAAGCGUUAUUCGGAAUUAUUGGGCGUAAAGGGCGCGUAGGCGGCCUGGCAAGUGGAAGGUGAAAUCCCUCGGCUUAACCGAGGAACUGCCCUCCAUACUGCGGUGCUUGAGGACUGGAGAGGAGACUGGAAUUCAUGGUGUAGCAGUGAAAUGCGUAGAGAUCAUGAGGAAGACCAGUGGCGAAGGCGGGUCUCUGGACAGUUCCUGACGCUGAGGCGCGAAAGCGUGGGGAGCAAACAGG